UACGUAGGGUGCGAGCGUUGUCCGGAAUUACUGGGCGUAAAGAGCUCGUAGGUGGUUUGUCGCGUUGUUCGUGAAAACUCACAGCUCAACUGUGGGCGUGCGGGCGAUACGGGCAGACUGGAGUACUGCAGGGGAGACUGGAAUUCCUGGUGUAGCGGUGGAAUGCGCAGAUAUCAGGAGGAACACCGGUGGCGAAGGCGGGGUCUCUGGGCAGUAAACUGACGCUGGAGGAGCGAAAGCGUGGGGAGCGAACAGG
rnacentral:rRNA from 1 species